UUAGUAACGCGUGGGAACAUACCCUUUUCUAAGGAAUAGCCACUGGAAACGGUGAGUAAUACCUUAUACGCCCUUCGGGGGAAAGAUUUAUCGGAGAAGGAUUGGCCCGCGUUACAUUAGAUAGUUGGUGGGGUAACGGCCUACCAAGUCUACGAUCUAUAGCUGGUUUGAGAGGAUGAUCAGCAACACUGGGACUGAGACACGGCCCAGACUCCUACGGGAGGCAGCAGUGGGGAAUCUUAGACAAUGGGCGCAAGCCUGAUCUAGCCAUGCCGCGUGAGUGAUGAAGGCCUUAGGGUCGUAAAGCUCUUUCGCCAGAGAUGAUAAUGACAGUAUCUGGUAAAGAAACCCCGGCUAACUCCGUGCCAGCAGCCGCGGAUAAUACGGAGGGGGUUAGCGUUGUUCGGAAUUACUGGGCGUAAAGCGCACGUAGGCGGGAUCAGUUCAGUU
rnacentral:rRNA from 1 species